CCAUAUGUCAUUUAGGAACCAAUCACUGUGUCUGGAAAGGAAGGACUGUGUCUAUUGGCAUGCCUGAGUCAUGUGAUCAUUACUGAUGAUGGGGGUGGGGCUAGCCCCACCAGACCUAAGGGGACAAAGGGUGAAAGAGAAAGUAAUUCGUUCAACAAAUGUUUAUUGAGCCCCUACUGUGUGCCUGUCCCUGGUCUAGACGCUAAGGAUACAGCAGUGAACAGGACCAGAGGAAAAAACCCGUCCUCCUGUGGCUGAUGCUAUAGAUGAAGCCAGCUGCCACAUUGUGAGCUGCCCUAUGGAGAGGCCACCUCCUUAAGAGCAAGUAAGGAAUUCAAACCUUCCAACAACACACAGCCAAUGCUUGGAUAGAAGCCUGUGAAGGGACCUGAAGCAGAGAGCCCAAUGAAGCCAUUCCUGGUUCCUGACCUACCGAAACAGAAACUUUCCAGCCCUGGAAUUCACCUGAGGCCACCAACACCACAGGAGAGGACUCAGACGUCAGCUGCCCUAUCGGAGUCUGGGUAUGCUCAGUCCUGCUGCAGUAACAAGUGAGCUCCAAAUCUCAGGGGCGUAAAACAUCAGAGAUUCCACUUCUCACUUGGCACAUUGCAGAUUGCCAGAGCCGAAGGACAAGAAAACACACAGUGGCUUACACCAGCUCUUCAAGUUGCCGCCUGCACAUGACCCGUGUCAUAACUGCUCACAUCUCAUUGGCUAACGCAAGUCUCACAGCCACUCAAGCAAGAGCUGGAGUGGUAGUGACCAACCCGAUGGCCAUUAGCCAGCAGGCUAAGAGCACAUUACGUACAUUCACACUGUUGUAUAACCAUCCCUGCCCUCCGUCUCCAGAAUUUGUUUCUUUCUUUCUUUUUAAAUUUUGACGUGUUACAUGCUUGUAACCAUGACCCAGAUCAGACUAUCAAACAUUCUCACUCAUUUUUCUCCCCAUUGGGCCCCCCAGCCCCUGUUUUUGUUUUGUUUGCUCGUUUGUUUCAUUUUUUCAAAUUCUACAUGUAAGUGAAAUCCUAUGGUACUUGUCUUUCUCAGCCUGGCUUGUUUCCACUGAGCAUAAUACCCUCCAGCUCCAUCCAUGUUGUUGCAAAUGGCAGGAUCUCACGCUUUCUUAUGGCUGAAUAAUAUUCCAUUGUAUAUAUGCACUACAUCUUCUUUAUCCAUUCACCUAUCAGUGGACACUCAAGUUGCUUCCAUAUUUUAGCUAUUGUACAUAAUGCUGCAAUAAACAGCCGUGCAUGGAACUUUCUUUCCAAAUUAGAGAUUUUGUUUUCUUCAUAUGUAUUCCCAGAAGUGGAAUUGCUGGGUCAUACGGUAUUUCUAUUUUCCUUUUCAUCUUGUAAAACCGAAACUCUGUCCCCUUUAAACACUAACUGCCCACUUUCCCUACCCUGGCCCCCGGCCCCCACAUCCACUUGCUGUGUGUGUGUGUGUGUGUGUGUGAAUCUGACUCCUCUGGGGACCUCCUAUAAGUGGAAUCAUGCGUUUGUCCUCUCGUGACUCCCUUAUUUCACUCAGUAUAAUGUCCUCAAGGGUCACCCAAGUUGUAGCAUGUGCCACAAUUUCCUUCCUUUAAAAAAAAUUUUAAGUGGUAAAAAAACUUGUAAUAUAAAGUUCAUCUUAACCACUUUUAAGUGUACGGUUCAGUGGUGUUAAGCAUAUUCACAUAGUUGUGCAACCAGCCUCCAGAACAUUUUCAUCUUGCAAAAUUGUCACUCAACACCCACUGAACAACAACUUGCUUCCCACCACUCCCCAGCCCCUGGCACACCGCCCUUCUGCUCUCUGUCUCUGUGAGGGUAACUGCUUCCAUUCCCUCUUAUAAGGAGACUCUUAGAAGGACACAGGACCUGUCCUUUUGCCUCUGGCUUAUUUCACUCCACAUAAUGUCUUCUUCAAGGUCUAUCCAUGUUGUAGCAGGUGCCAGUUUCCUUCCUUUUUAAGGCCGAAUAAUAUUCCAUGGCAGGGAUACCCCACAUUUUGUUUAUCCCCUUGCCCACUCAUAGAAACUUGAGUUGUUUCCACUUUUUAGCUAUUGUGAAUAAGGCUGCUGCAAACGCGGGUGGACAGAUAUCUCUUUGAGACAUUUUUUUCAAUUCAUUUGGAAUUGCUGGAAUGUACACUUAUUCUGUGUUCCAUUUUUUAAGGAACCGCCAGACUGUUUCCAUUUUACAGUCCCACCAGCAGUGCACAAGGGUUCCAAUUUCUCCACAUCCUUGACAACCCUUGCUGUUUCCUGUUUGCGUUUUAUAGUACCACCCUGAUGGGUGUGAAGUAGUAUUUCAUUGCGGCUUUGAUUUGCAUUUCCCUGAUGACCAGUGAUGCUGAGCACCUUUUGGUGUGCUUACUGUCCAUUUGUCUGAGGAUUUUGAUGACUCCAUUUCAAAGGAAGCUCAGGGCGUGGCUGCCAGUCUCCUUCCCAAUGCCAGGGCACCGGGUAACCUGCAGGGUCCUCAGGGCUGGUUCUUUGAGCCAGGCAGAAGCUGGGGGUGAGAGGCAGGCGUGGUGGUGCCAUAUCCUGGAAGGCACUGCUGCUAACCUUCAUCACUUGUCACCAAGAACCACGCCAGGGACCACGAAAAACCCCAGUGACACCUUCAUCCCCAGAUACACAGGUGCCGACAAGAAAUGCUCCCCUACAAGUCCUUCCUUGGAGCACUCAGAAGAAACACUCCUGUCUGUCCCUCUCCCCGUGGCUUCCUGUGGUAUUACAACAGGACACCUGCGGCCACGGCGGCUUCACGCCAACACACAGGGCCCAGACCUCCCGCCCAGUCCUCACCUCCUGCCCCGUGGAGGUGAUCAGCGGCUCAUGGCACCAUCUGUUCCUCUCCCCCUGGACCACGGACUCCAUGGACUGUUUCUUCCAUCAGCCUGCUUUUCCUUUUUUUUGAUUCUUGAAUGAAUUUAUUUUGAAAGGAAACUUAAUGCUGUGGCCACAAAAGAAAACCUGAGUCAUUUCCAUAAGCAGAAAGCAGCAGGAAAAAAGGAAUGAUGUCAUAAAAAGGAACGACGUCAUAGGGGCAGGAAUGGGGUGACGAUAAAUUCGGUUACUGCUUCUGCCUGCAGAAGGCUCGAGGCUGGACUAGCACGGGGAUGGCGAGGAGCAAAGCCUCAGGGGUCGAGCGCGCCCAGGGACCCUGAGAGCCAAUGUCUCACCCUCCAGUCCAGCCACAGCACAGAGUAUUCUUGAGCCAAAAAGAAAGGAAAGAGAAGGGAAGGGAAAGGAAAGAAAGGCAAAAAGGAAAGUAAAUGAAAACGGAAAGAGACAACCAGAGUUUUUAAAGUCAAAGACAGAGCAACAAUAAGCGCAGACUGACAUGGAUUCAUGCAACCGUGACCAAGC